rnacentral:misc_RNA from 1 species
GCACUCACAUGAAAUAUAUUCAGAUAAAUCAGUAAUUUCAAUGAGUUCUCUUGCUUUCCGGGGGGGCUUUGCUUCAUUCCUUUACAGCCAGAAAGCCGAUUCAUAGUUUAUCACAGAAGUGAACUUCAUAACAAUUACACAAGGACCAUAUAUAUCCUCGAUUCAUGUGAAAGAUGCAGAGCUUGUCAUGACGCAUCUAAUGAGCCAGCAUAGUAUUGAGGGUUUUCUCUGAGAUAUCAUAGUGGUUCACCAGAUGUAAAUGCAACAAUACAGUCCACUACAUUUCACAUUGGAUUUUUUUAAUUCCUCUAUUGAGACCUUAUGCCCCAUUCUGCAUAUUUUUCUUCAAAAAAGUAAUGAUGAGGACAUGCUACACAAUUUUAGCACCUAUUCCUUCAUCCACAUGUAUCCUUGCCGAUUCAGCUCCAGAAAAGCUUGUACCCAGGACUGAUAACUUACGACUCCAGAACUAAAAUUUCAUGCUUGCUACACAACGUCACUCGAGGCUCUUAGUGAAGUAGAGAUCAUAGCCGCUGGAGAUCUUUCUUUCUUUUUUUUUUUUUUAAGAGCAACCCACUGGAGAUCUUUGAGAGUGUCUUUAAAAAUAUAUACAUAGCUAGUCUCCACCAUGAAAUUCUUGUCAGAUUGUGGGCUUUCCUUAUCGUGCUCACUUGUGCAAACAGGCUGACACCUACAAAUGUUGAGUCAUGCUAGUGCAACAUAAAGAAAAGCCCCUGCAUUUGAUCAGUUGAAGAAAUAUGGUGAUUCUAACACAUCCUGCAGAUCAAAGUCUCCUCGUUCAGGUAAAGAGGGAAAGGAUAAUGUCGGAAAAGAUUGCUGAAAGCUCUCCAUCAAAUUCUCCAGGAUUGGUUUUUCGUAAAGCUCAACAAACUUUUCCCUGAGUAUUCUGUUCAUUUCAUCCACAUCACAUGCAUGCGUCCAAUAUGAAUCGUGAACUCCUGCAAAGUUUAGGCCUGCUUUUUUGCAGGCAACUGCAGUCAUCAUCAUAUGAGAACCAUCAAGGGAGUGAACAAAAUUUGGUGGGAAAGCUGUUCUCUGCCGCUUGACCAUAACCUUUUCAGUUUCCUGUUGUAGUGUUAAGACCUGCAGGGAAGUUUUGAUGAGAUGCCUUCCUAAUUUACGGUAAGGUUGCACAACAGGAAGUCCAAGUGGAGUUGUCCACCUCACAGGCUCAUUUUCAGAUGCAAUAAUCUUUGCACAUUCACCAAGCCAGCUCAUGAUACUUCGUGCAGCUUCAAACAUCUCUCCUAAUGCAGUUAAAGUCACCUUUGCAGCAUAGCAAGAGGAACGAAAGAUCUCUGCAUCAUCUGCAAUAAAACCACGUUCUUUCAACCUCCUCUUGAUCUGAUCUCUUGCACCAAUAUAAGUGACACCAUAUACAGAUGUCAUCACUGUCUGCUUCACCAAUUUCCUAUCAACCUGAUUAAUUAAUGUCCUUGCAUGCAAUGCAUCAGGAAAAACAGCAGGAUCUUUCUGUGCAUCCCUCCUCAUGAUAUCAAGCACUCUAGCAGCUAUUCCUGAGUAGACAUCUGCAGGCUUCUCUCCAGCAACCAGAUUAACAGCAGCUGCUCCCAACUUGUCUCUUCCUAGUGCAGCAUAGUGUUGUAGGCCAUUACAGGAACCAUCCUGAUGAAUUGGAAUAUGUGAAAUAAAUGUUUCUGGAGAGGAACUUCUCAGAGCCUCAGUGAGAUCAAUGCAUACUGCCAAGCACUGAAAUGGAUCUUCUGCAUGUAACCACCAACGCUUUCCCUCAAGUGGCCUUUCUGCAGAAUCAAAUAUAUCAUCCAAGUGAUUCUCAGUAAAAGCCAUUCGACCAUCAUAUGACAACUUGUCCACACCACCAGCAAAUAAAUUUGCAAGGUGUAUCUUGAGCCAGCGUAAGCCAGACUUUCCAAGAGUGCAUCCCUCAGCGAACUCCAAAAUGCCCCGACACAGAUCUGAACCAAGAUGGUUCAAGUAUGGGUGCAUGGGAUAUGCACGUCCUCGAAAGUCGAGAUUGUGUGGAUAAUAAAAACCUUCUUCAUCCCUAAUUUUCCGUGCUACAGCAAGUUUUAGUUCAGUGUCACAACGCUGAGAGUGUCUCUCCUUGUUCUCUUUUUUCACAGAUCUGAUUUUCCACUUCCAUUUCUUCAGCAAUGCUUCAUCUUCAGUAUCUGGCUUUUCUGGCAAAGGAACAUCAUUUUGAUCUACCAAAUCAGCAAGACGGCCUCCACUAUUCCAUAUUCUAUCCACAAUACUAAGUACCCUCUUAUUUAUUCUCCAUUUUGUAUGUCCAAGUGUAUCCAAAGCCUCAAAAACUGGUUGAAGUUGCUCUCUAGACGUCCUCUUGACUGCCUCUCGUUGUUGUCUAACACCAUGUGUGCGCAUGACAUAGGAUGGCAAGAACAAGUGUGCUCCUUUGUCAUAACCUGUCCACUUUAUUGGUGGCACCAACAUUGGCAUAUAAGGAAUUACCAUGUGCCUUGCAGUUAUCUCAAGGCCCUUCAGAACUAGUGGGUCACACUGAAUGAUACCAUAUCUUCUGCCGCUCUCCUUAUUUCCAUGUUUCAAAGUCCUGAAUGUGUGUACAAACGCAGGUCGAAUCUCAGGUGGAUCAUCAGCUGACUGAUUAGCGGGAGGCUGUAUAUAAGCUGUUUGAAUCAGCAAUUCAAUCAAACGGCUCCCAACCUUAGCCUUAGCAUCCUGGCUCCAGGGUUUUGAAUCAUCAUGCCCCUUCACUAUCUUCCUCACUGCAGGCAACUUUUGCUUCUUAAUCAAAUCAGUAACCUUUUUCCUUAACUUCUGCUGCUCCUUCACCAUGCCAUUAGAUUCAUCUUCCUGAUUUUUCUCACUACCAGCUCUUUUCUUUUUGGUUUUCUCCAAGAACCUGUGUAUUCUAACCUCCUGAUCAAUUGCAUCGCCAAUUUUACAAGCAGCAGCCACAACCAUUGCACAUCCAUGUCCCCCACCGGUCAUUACCAGACCCACCAGCUUAUGCAUUGUAAUUACAGCCAUCAUAUCAGCUGGUAACUGAUCAAAAUAUGGAGCAUAAGCCGUCCUAUUCUUUCCCUCUCUAAUCAACUCUUGCUCUUUCAGAAUGGCAUCCCUCAGAGGCUCAAACCAACCAAGAAACAAAGACUUCAUAUAAGGUAAAUUUGGAGCCAAUUUCUGUUCACACAUGUCCGUUAAAAGCUCCUUAUAUUCUUUGGCCGCCUGUUCCCAUGCUUCAGUCUCGAUUUUCACCUGCCUUCUCCUCAACAUAUGAUACUUCCCUGAACUCAUUCCUCGUUCCUUCUUUCUUAUAUAUUCUUUCUCUCUCCACUCUUCUCUCCUCAUCUCCUGCAAUAAUUCUUGGACUUCUUCAACGACAGAGACGUCGUCUUCAACAUCUGUCGAUGAUGAAACAGCCUCAGCUACAUUUACAUACCCUCUGAGCCUCAAAUACACACUAGACAGAGAAACAUUAGUAAUAUCAUUAGCGCUAUUCCUAAGGAAGCCAAACCUCUCAUGUGUCAGAAUUCCACCGUAUUGGCGAAAACGCAGUUCAGCAUUUGAGAUAUUUUGUGGAUGCAAUUUGAAUUUUUCGGUGAAAAUGGAUUCCUGGAAAGGAAAUACAAAGCUACAAGUGCCUGAAAACGAAUGAGAACUGUGGGAUUUCCAGGAGCUUUUUGAAAUGGCUUGUUUAGCUACGUUUCUCCACAUAAUAGUGGAUACUUUUGGUGGGUUUAAAGAGUGUAUUUCUGAUUUUGUAUCAAAGGAAAUGAAAUGAUCGAACUUUUGGGCAAAAACUAAAGGGGACUUGGCGCUGGACAUCAAAUUAAUGUAAAAUUUUUGAACGAACCAGAGAAAAAUCGAAGAGAUGGAGAGAUUAAAGGAGACGAGUAGAUGAAGAAAUCUGAGAAAGAAAUUGGAUACAUAGAGAAUGAGAAGUAGUAGCCGCCUUAAACCCACCUUAAACCUUCUUUGGGUUCUUUGCAGUUGCUAAUCGUCUGCUUAGUUUCACUUGCCCAGUUGCCCUGAGGGGCG